UUUUGGCUUGUCACAUUGAGCCCCGUGAACUCAAGUCGUGUUAAUAAGGAAGAAGAGGAGAGUGGUUAUUGCCUAGGCAGCAAGCAAUGGGGCCAUAUUGGAAGACUGUGAGCCCUUUAAUAAGCAGCAGAGUAGAAAGUGGAGCCAUUUGCUGAGACUGGAAAAACAGACAAGAAACAGGUUCAGGGAGCAAAAGGUUUCCAGCAGCAAGAGGUUGCCAAGAAGAUAAACACCAACCCACUUACUCACCAUCCAAUAUCACCAGCCACCAUUGACAUAACAAGGAAAGGAAAGCUGUCUCAGCAGGGUUCAUGUGGUGGUCAGAUAAGAAAAUGUGUUUGAACUGUCUAGAUGAUAUUAAUUGGAUCCCUGCUUAUUUCUUUAAAUAAAUGUUUG
rnacentral:lncRNA from 10 species